rnacentral:rRNA from 1 species
UGAACGCUGGCGGUAUGCCUAACACAUGCAAGUCGUACGAGGGUUUUUAACUCUAGUGGCGGACGGGUGAGUAACACGUGAGAAUUUGCCUUUAGGAGGGGGAUAACAAUCGGAAACGAAUGCUAAUACCCCAUAUGCUUUUGAGUGAAAUGGAUUUAUCCGCCUAAAGAGAAGCUCGCGGCUGAUUAGCUUGUUGGUAAGGUAAGAGCUUACCAAGGCGACGAUCAGUAUCUGGUUUGAGAGGACGAUCAGACACACUGGAACUGAGACACGGUCCAGACUCCUACGGGAGGCAGCAGUGGGGAAUUUUCCGCAAUGGGCGAAAGCCUGACGGAGCAAUACCGCGUGAGGGAAGACUGCCUAUGGGGUUGUAAACCCUCUUUUUUCAGGGAGGAAUAAAUUGACGUGUACCUGAAGAAUAAGCAUCGGCUAACUCCGUGCCAGCAG